rnacentral:rRNA from 1 species
UACGUAGGUGGCAAGCGUUGUCCGGAUUUACUGGGUGUAAAGGGCGUGUAGGCGGGUUAUUAAGUCAGAUGUGAAAUUCUUGGGCUCAACCCAAGCGCUGCAUCUGAAACUGAUGAUCUUGAGUACUGGAGAGGGAAGCGGAAUUCCUAGUGUAGCGGUGAAAUGCGUAGAUAUUAGGAGGAACACCAGUGGCGAAGGCGGCUUUCUGGACAGUAACUGACGCUGAGGCGCGAAAGCGUGGGGAGCAAACAGG